AAUAUUGGACAAUGGGCGAAAGCCUGAUCCAGCCAUGCCGCGUGAGUGAUGAAGGNCUNNGGGUUNUNAAGCUCUUUCAGUGGNNNNNAUAAUGACGGUNCCCACAGAAGAAGCCCCGGCUAACUUCGUGCCAGCAGCCGCGGUAAUACGAAGGGGGCUAGCGUUGUUCGGAUUUACUGGGCGUAAAGCGCACGUAGGCGGAUUGGUCAGUUAGGGGUGAAAUCCCAGAGCUCAACUCUGGAACUGCCCUUAAUACUGCCAUUCUAGAGUCCGGAAGAGGUGAGUGGAACUCCUAGUGUAGAGGUGGAAUUCGUAGAUAUUAGGAAGAACACCAGUGGCGAAGGCGGCUCACUGGUCCGGUACUGACGCUGAGGUGCGAAAGCGUGGGGAGCAAAC
rnacentral:rRNA from 1 species